GUAUUUCAUUGCGUUUAAGCUAUGUACAUUCGUUGAAUAAGUAAAGUGUAUGUAAGGACAAGGGGAGACCUUCAAUCGCAAAGCGACCUACUAGUCUACCCUUGAAAGAUGCACAGGUGUUAUAAAGGAUAAGGGGAAUGAGCACUUGUAAAACCAGCUCAAUAACCCCAAAGGUUCAUUAAUGAUCCUUCCGCAGGUUCACCUACGGAAA
rnacentral:misc_RNA from 1 species